UGAAAUGGAAACAACAAAUUACAAAGCAAAAGGAUUCUGGAGGAUAUAUCUGUAAUUUCUCUAAAAAUUGCUCCCUGCAUCACUCAUAUUCAAAUGAGUAUACGACAAAGUGAAUCAGUUAUACAUCCAUCCACUUUUAAAGCGAGGAGGAGCUUCCUGAUUUGGAAUGUUCUGCAUAAGGCAAAUACCACAGGACAAAGUCUGUGAGAUCAAUCCACACUAGUCUGCCAACUGAUCUUUCAGCUUCCACCAUUCUCCAAUCAGAAGCCAGGGUGAACUUUUAAUUAUAAAUUAGAAUAUGUCAUUCGCUUCCUUGAAACACUUCAAUGGGGGCUUCCCUGGGUGGUCUAGCAGUUAAGAAUCUGACUGCCAAUACAGGGAACGCGGGCUCAAUUCCUGAUCCAGGAAGAUUCCACGUGUCACGGAGCAAGUAAGCCCAUGUACCGCAACUGCUGAGCCCACACAAAUUAGAGCCCUCCUUCGCAACAAGAGAAGACACCACAGUGAGAAGCCUGCACGGCCCAACUAUGCGGCAGUCCCCACUCACUGCAGCCAAAGAAAGCCUGUGCGUAGCGACAAAAACCUAGUGGAGCCAAAAGUAAAUAAAAAAAUCUUAAAAAAAAAAAAAAAAAAGCCACCUGGAGCAUUCCCAUUUCCUUAGAAUGAAAUAGAAAUUUUCACCAGGGCUUACCCAGACCCACUUCCCCUUUGCCCACCCGUCUUCACUUCUUCCCACUCUCCCUCUGGUUGACAUACUUUAUUACCAUGUUACCAACAUGUUCCCUUCAGUCCCACCACCAGAGGAUCUGAAGAAAGCUUCCCUUCUCUGUUGCAAUUUUGUGGGGUUUUCACAUUUGGAUCUCGGCUUAUAAGUCAUCGUCUCAGAGAGGCCCUUUCUGCCUUCUCUGACCAGGCAGAGGAUCAUGUAGGGCACUGACAAAGGGUUCAACAGUGGUUUAUUAGGUUAGUGAGAAAGGGGAGUGAGAGUGUUUUAUACACUAUUAAGCAUAAAAUGCAUGUGAACAUUUGUUAGUUGUUUUUUUUUAAGUAACAAAUGCAUGUAAUAAAAUGUACACUAAUAAAUGAGACCAUGUCUUCAUGGUCACUAUGAGAGAAAGACUGCUCUAGACCUUGUAUUCCAUAAGCAUACACUUAAGAUGUGGAGUAAGACGGAGAACGCUGGAAAUUAUCUAAUUGUCCAGAAAUGAUAACUAAAAAACUCAUUAGCCGCAUGUCUGAGUGUGAAUGCCUGGCAAGUAGGAGGCUUCUUACAGAAGGGAGGUAGAGGCAAGUCUUGAGAUCUGUACAAAGACUCGAUUUACGUUUCAGGAGGUAAUGUGAGGGUGAGGACAAUAAAAUUAUUGUUGCUGAUUUCUUUUUCAUUUUCAUUUCUAUGAAUCAGAAUGUUACUGUAUAAGCUAUAUAAGUGAAUACGAUUUAAGAUAUUUCAUAAAUAGAUUCCAUUUUUCUUCUCUUGAAAUCAGCGACGUUCUAUUCCCUGGCUAUUAAA